GGAGCACUCGACCUUCGACAUGUGCAUAACCUUGAUAGGUAGCUCUCGACCCUCGACAAAUAGUAAUCAACCUUUGCUAGGCAACUCUUAACCUUUGGUAGGUAGCUUUCGGCUCUUGAUAGGUGCAUAUGACCCUCUACAGAUAGCAUUUAAUCUUUGGUAGGUAGCAUUCGGUUAUCGACAUGCAACACUCAAGAUGUGUUUUGCACUAGUUAUCCUA
rnacentral:lncRNA from 1 species